rnacentral:rRNA from 1 species
AGACGUCUACAUUAGAUACCCGCGUAGUCCCAGCCGUAAACUAUGCGCGUUAGGUGUAUCGGUGACCACGAGUCACCGAGGUGCCGAAGGGAAACCGUGAAACGUGCCGCCUGGGAAGUACGGUCGCAAGGCUGAAACUUAAAGGAAUUGGCGGGGAGCACCACAACAGGUGGAGCCUGCGGUUUAAUUGGACUCAACGCCGGGAAGCUCACCGGAUAAGACAGCGGAAUGAUUGCCGGGCUGAAGACUCUGCAUGACUAGCUG